rnacentral:rRNA from 1 species
AUUGAACGCUGGCGGCAGGCCUAACACAUGCAAGUCGAACGGUAACAGGAAGAAGCUUGCUUCUUUGCUGACGAGAGGCGGACGGGUGAGUAAUGUCUGGGAAACUGCCUGAUGGAGGGGGAUAACUACUGGAAACGGUAGCUAAUACCGCAUAACGUCGCAAGACCAAAAAGGGGGACCUUCGGGCCUCUUGCCAUCGGAUGUGCCCAGAUGGGAUUAGCUAGUAGGUGGGGUAACGGCUCACCUAGGCGACGAUCCCUAGCUGGUCUGAGAGGAUGACCAGCCACACUGGAACUGAGACACGGUCCAGACUCCUACGGGAGGCAGCAGUGGGGAAUAUUGCACAAUGGGCGCAAGCCUGAUGCAGCCAUGCCGCGUGUAUGAAGAAGGCCUUCGGGUUGUAAAGUACUUUCAGCGGGGAGGAAGGGAGUAAAGUUAAUACCUUUGCUCAUUGACGUUACCCGCAGAAGAAGCACCGGCUAACUCCGUG